UCCCAUGUGGCUCAGUUGGUAGAGCAUGGUGUUUGCAACGCCAGGGUUGUGGGUUCGAUUCUCACAGGGGAC
rfam:Salmo salar isolate Sally breed double haploid chromosome ssa06, whole genome shotgun sequence.